CAUCACAAAAUCACAGGGUCUAUUUAUCUAUUUUUACAUUUUUGCCAAUUAAUUCCCAUAGGAAAAACAGUGCGAAAAGGUUCGAUAAACAUAAACGACGCUCCAUCUGGGAUAAAAAAAAUGUGGCUUUACCAAUUUUCCCUUAUCCCACUCGCUGUGUCUCUCCUCGGUUGUUCUUCCCCUCUUUGCUUCAGCAGUUAUUGCAAGAACAAGCUGAACCAACAACUCUUUACUUCAGCACUUUUUGCAAUAGAAACUUAAAAUAUCUUCUCCAAUUGACCAGGAAACCAACAAGAAGGCGAUGAAAAUGGCGCUGUCACAAGAGGACCAGGGUGUUUGAUGACCUUUCUCAACCUUAAAAUUAUCUAAAAAAUUCGAUGGUCAAACUCUAAUGGACAAAGAGAUUGUGUCCUGUCCUCUCAUUGUGGAUGAUGCUCCUCUUCCUUUUGCGAUUACUAUGGUGAAAAGGAGUUGUGGUUAUCACUAAAUUUUGUAUCAAAUAAGCAGCACAAUGAUAUGUUGAAGGAGAGAGGAAAUAGAGAUUGAAGCAGAAUUCCUCAAAGCUUUCAUUAGUACAAGGAGUACAAAAAUUUAUUUAUUCGGUAGCUACUUACAGGUGUUUUCUUUUCGUUAAUUAGUAUAAUAUACAUAUUACUCUUCACGAGUUUCUCUUUGUGCGAUAAAAAAAUCAAAAUUAAAUGGGUUAAAUGAUGUUAUUUGCUUGAUAGAUGGUUGUAUUGAUUUCCUGUUAAAGGCAGAUUUUCCUGUAUUACCUUUCUGAUAGUAAGACAAGAUGGAGGAUAUAUUUCUUUUAUUUAG